rnacentral:tRNA from 1 species
AUGAUUGUGGCGGAACGGUAGACGCGCUUAGUUUAGGUCUAAGAAUUUAUGGGUUCAAUUCCCAUCUCUCAUA